UCUCUACCGGCGCACGUCGCUGU
rnacentral:miRNA from 1 species